rnacentral:snRNA from 1 species
GUGCUCGCUUCGGCAGCACAUAUACUAAAAUAGAAUGGCAAAGA